rnacentral:lncRNA from 7 species
UGAUACCAAGCAAAGCUAAGAUUAAUCGUUAGCACAAAUAUUCAUACCUCCUCUAUUGUAGACCUGAUGGUGCAUCUAACCUGAUGGUUGGAUUUGAAAAUGCGAUUGCAACUUGGGUUCCCAGAAUGAGACACCUUUAUCUUCUCUGAGGUCUGAAAAAGAAUCUUCCUGCAGAAUAGAGGCAUCUGUCCUCAGCUGAAAAAAAUGUGUGAACUACCCUGAGGGGCUGAACAUGACAGGGUUGAACAGAGAUAAAAGAAGGACCGUGCUUAAAAGAAAUGCUGGCUCACUCACAGGAAGGAAAUUUCAAACUUAAUUCUCUCGACCAAGAGGUGUCUGGAUUUAUGAGGAUCUUGGCUACGCGGGAGCCCCAUGUCUGCUUUCACUGAAAAAGAAAAGACAGUACAUCUUGCUCCAGGUCUGCUACUAAGAACUUUGGAAAGAACGGAGUGGAGUGAGUAACAUUCUCCUGAGCUAGCUGCUGAUCCUGAGCAUAAGAUAGUGCUCUGAGGGGAAGCUUGACUGGUCCUUGGCUUAAGUCUUAGGAAAAUGAAUAUUUAUUGACAGAGCUUUGGGUCCCCAUGGUCACUAACACUUUUCUCACUUCUCCUCUAUGAAGAACAGCUGUGGAAAUUAUCAGGUCUGCCAGUACCUUGGGGAGAGCCUCUCUGGACCCCAAACUUUUCACUCUCCUCUGUGCAAUUUUCAUCCUUUUGACCAUGGCCAUGUCUUGUUUCUGGAAGUAGAAUGAGCUGUGGAAGAAAAAAAAAAAAGCUGUUGCAACAGACUUGGAGAAUCAGAAACAGUUAUCCAGAAAUAGUAAUUUGCUUUAUAGAGAACUGUGGUGAUGUAAACAAAUACUGUUCAGGAGGUGAUCAGGGAAAUAAUUAAUCAAUGGCUCAUCAAGCAUAGGGCUAAAAUAAAAUAAAAU